rnacentral:tRNA from 1 species
GCGCCGCGAUAGCGCGCGUACGGCACGCCGCGCUCGGGGUGCGCGGUCGUCUCGUCGAUGACGCGCUCGACGUCCGGCACCUCGCGCAGCGCA